rnacentral:lncRNA from 10 species
GAUAAAAAUUUGGUUGUUUCUCCUGGCUGGCAAAGAGGGGCAGACUCAGAGAUUUCCAUUUUGCCUUCACAAUCAUAAUGGCUAUGACCACACAGGUAAGUAAACUGUUAUGAAAUUGCUGCUACCUGUCAAGAACUGCAAAUAAACUGAGCUUUUACCCUACAUGCAAGCUAACACAGAGGAUGCAAGGCUUGUGCCUCAGAAUAGACCAUCAGCUAGCCUAAUAAAGAAGAAAAGAGAGAAGAAUCAAACUGACACAAUAACAAAUAAAUUCUAUGCCUUUGCAUCCUUGUAACUUAGCUCCCACUUAUGAGUGAAAACAUACAAGAAUGGCCAUAAUCAAAACAUCAGAAACAUACAGAGAAGGGAAUUCUCAGUAAUGAUGUCAGCCUAUCCAAUUUGACACAUUACAAACCACUCCAAUGAUCAUAUUAAAAGUUAUCUUGAACUUAUUAAAGCAAAAUUUGGAGGUGCCACAGAAAUGUUUUGUAUAAGAUUUGAAGUGAAAGUGAAGCAUCAGCCAUGAUGUUUGCACACUUGGAAGGUCAGUACAUGGUCACCAAGUGCUAUUACAGAACAUACGUGUUGUGACACAUCUCCAGGCUCACCUC